GUUCCUCGACAGUGUUCGAAGCAAUUGUACGUCCUUCUUUCCUUAUUCAAACAAACAUGGGAGCUUGCACCAGUGGGGAUGGUCGGCAAACCUUUAAUUAAGGUAGCCAAGAUUUCCUGGAAAGCACCCACCUGUACAUACAGAGGCAGAUAGGAUCCCUAUUAGAGACGGCACAGGUGGAGGAACC
rnacentral:other from 5 species